rnacentral:rRNA from 1 species
ACGAUGUCGACUUGGAGGUUGUGCCCUUGAGGCGUGGCUUCCGGAGCUAACGCGUUAAGUCGACCGCCUGGGGAGUACGGCCGCAAGGUUAAAACUCAAAUGAAUUGACGGGGGCCCGCACAAGCGGUGGAGCAUGUGGUUUAAUUCGAUGCAACGCGAAGAACCUUACCUACUCUUGACAUCCAGAGAAUUCGCUAGAGAUAGCUUAGUGCCUUCGGGAACUCUGAGACAGGUGCUGCAUGGCUGUCGUCAGCUCGUGUUGUGAAAUGUUGGGUUAAGUCCCGCAACGAGCGCAACCCUUAUCCUUUGUUGCCAGCGAGUAAUGUCGGGAACUCAAAGGAGACUGCCGGUGAUAAACCGGAGGAAGGUGGGGAUGACGUCAAGUCAUCAUGGCCCUUACGAGUAGGGCUACACACGUGCUACAAUGGCAUAUACAAAGAGAAGCGAACUCGCGAGAGCAAGCGGACCUCAUAAAGUAUGUCGUAGUCCGGAUUGGAGUCUGCAACUCGACUCCAUGAAGUCGGAAUCGCUAGUAAUCGUAGAUCAGAAUGCUACGGUGAAUACGUUCCCGGGCCU